rnacentral:lncRNA from 1 species
UAUAUAUAUAUAUAGAGAGAGAGAGUUAAAGUCCUUUACAAUAUAAUCAUAUCAAAACUUUACUAUUACUAUUUAUUGAAGUUGAUCAAUUCAAUUUAAUACAGGCUACUACUAGAAAUAUCAGUUAAUGAACCAUUACUGCAAAACCAAAACUUAGAGAAAUCAAAGUUAACAUGAAACAAGUUUUUAGAAAAGUUAUAACUAUUCAAAUUGGUCCAGACAAUAUUCUUGCAUACCAAUACAUAGUCCACUACCGGUUAAAAAUAUUCAUUGUAUUGGAACAACAUUCAAACUUGAUCUAUAACUUGUCAUGGUGUAAACUAUAUUACAAAUAUCAAGUAAAUAUCUUCAAGCAUGACGAAAAAAAGUGCAGAAAACUGAUUAUCGAUUUAAUUUUCUAAGUCCAUAGACCAUAACUCUGCACAAAAUCAACAGACCUAUGAGAACAAAAUUCAAACUUGAUCUAUAACUUGUCAUGAUAAAACUGUAAACCAAUUUUCAAAUCAAUUUCUUCAAGACUGACAGCAAAAAGUGUGGAAAAAGGAUUUUUUUAGUGAAUUUUCAUGGUCAAAGACCAUAACUCUGCACAAAAUCACCAAACCAGAACAAAACAAAAUACACCAAAUAUCAAAUCAAUAUCUUCAAGUAUGUAGAAAAAACGUGUAGGAAAACUGAUUUGCUGGCCUGACGUAUGGAUAGACAGACAGAGACAAACAGACAGAUGGACGGAGUGCAAACUUAAAAUCCCAUUGGACUUGUCAGUAGGGGACUAAUAAUCAGUUCCAUAAAAUAGUUUUUAUUUUUGUAUGAUUUGUUUGUUUAUACAGUCAUGUGAAAAAAUCAAUGUCAUCUAAAAUUCUACAAUGAGUAAAAUCCUAAUGUCAGCUACAAAAUACAUAAAGUGUGUACGUUUUUACACAACUAUGGAAAUCCCAUCAAUCCAUAUCUCAUUUUCUUUCUCUGUUUUGCAUGCCAAGUUAUAGAAGUAAUACUGUUGUUCAUAGCAGUUCUAGCCUUCGUUCUGGCAUGCCGGCUUUGGGCUUCACAGAAAUCUGUAAAGACACCAAAUUAUGAUCCAAUAAAAAAAAUCUGUAUUUCAUUAUAAAGUCAACCUUUUUAUGAAUAAUACAGGACACCACAAGCAUUAAAUUUUACACAAAUUUCAAUUUCAAAAUAAUUUCAUGCGGUUAACAUAAAAUUAUUUUAAAAUUGAAAUUUUCUUAAGUGUCUUUAUUUGGUGGGUAGCAUGCCAUGUUACAGAGGUGACACUAUUAUGCAUGGCUGUUCUGGCUUUUGUUCUUGGCUGGCAACUGUUGACCUCACAGAAAUCUGCAAAAAUAUCAUUAAAUUUAACACUUUAAGCUCUAGAUAGUUGAGAGGACUGGAGAGAAGGGCAUACAUAAGUUGUUAUGAAUAAGUCUUUAAAUGCAUGAUCUAUAUAUAAUCAAGGUGAAAUUUAAUUGGCACAUACUUCAGUAAAAAUCAUUAAACUACUGUUGGAUUCUUCAAUUGAGAGUAAAGUCCUAUCGUUUAACCUUUUCCAUUGAUUGAUAUUAAAUAUGAAUUAAAGGCCUAGUAACGUAUAUAUAUGUUAAACAGACAUAUUCAUAAUUAUGACAUUUUAGGCUCUUUUUCUUAAAAAAAAAAGGCAUUGCUAUCAUUUAGAGUGUCAUGCCUUGUUUUUUUAAUAAAUCUUUG